AACGAACGCUGGCGGCAGGCUUAACACAUGCAAGUCGAACGCAUCCUUCGGGGUGAGUGGCAGACGGGUGAGUAACGCGUGGGAACGUGCCCUUCGGUUCGGGAUAACCCAGGGAAACUUGGGCUAAUACCGGAUACGUGCGAGAGCAGAAAGAUUUAUCGCUGAAGGAUCGGCCCGCGUCUGAUUAGCUAGUUGGUGGGGGAAUGGCCCACCAAGGCGACGAUCUGUAGCUGGUCUGAGAGGAUUAUCAGCACCAUUUGGACAGCGACACGGGCAAAACGUCUGUGGGAGUCAGGAGUGUGGAAUAUUGGUCAAUGGGCGCAAGCCUGAUCCAGCCAUGCCGUGUGAGUGAUGGAGGCCUUAGGGUUGCAAAGCUCUUUCGUCCGGAACGAUAAUGACGGAACCGGAAGAAGAAGCCCCGGCUAACUUCGUGCCAGCCGCCGUAGUAA
rnacentral:rRNA from 1 species